ACGAACGCUGGCGGCGUGCUUAACACAUGCAAGUCGAGCGGUAAGGCCCUUUCGGGGGUACGACGAGCGGCGAACGGGUGAGUAACACGUGGGCGACCUGCCCUCAGCUCUGGGAUAAGCCUGGGAAACCGGGCCUAAUACUGGAUAUGACUCCAUGACGCAUGUUGUGGGGUGGAAAGCCUUGUGCGGCUGAGGAUGGGCCCGCGGCCUAUCAGCUUGUUGGGUGGGGUGANGGCCUACCAAGGCGACGACGGGUAGCCGGCCUGAGAGGGCGACCGGCCACACUGGGACUGAGACACGGCCCAGACUCCUACGGGAGGCAGCAGUGGGGAAUCUUGCGCAAUGGGCGAAAGCCUGACGCAGCGACGCCGCGUGAGGGAUGACGGCCUCGGUUGUAAC
rnacentral:rRNA from 1 species